GGAUGUGAGGCCAAUCUGGCUGCAACAUCUGUCGCCCCGCUGAUCGUCAGUGUUGAUCUGGCUGAUCUGACUGGCGGGGCUGUGUCCUUUCUUCCCUCACUGUCCCCCUACAAAGCUGUGCGCUCAGUGGCAGAGGACGACUAUCCUAUAGUGGAGGCCCAUUUUCUUAGGUCAAGGGUAUACGAGUAGCUGUGCUCCUCUGCCCAAAUAAGCUCUCAAAAAAAAAAAAAAAAAAAGGCACAGAUUCUGUCAUUAACCAGCUCCAAAACUAUUCGCUUUUCCUAAAAUGAGUAAAACCGUUAUAUAUUGGCAAUUUUA
rfam:Cavia porcellus supercont2_87 genomic scaffold, whole genome shotgun sequence.